GAGGGUACAGCUCAAGUGGUAGAGCACAUGCUUAGUAUGCACAAGGUCCUGGGUUCAAUCCUCAGUACCUCCU
rnacentral:tRNA from 1 species